UCUUGUUCAUCAAAGUUUUAGGUCGUACACGUCUAUAGGAACACUUAAAGCUUUGAUGACGGGAUA